rnacentral:rRNA from 1 species
AACGAACGCUGGCGGCGUGCCUAACACAUGCAAGUCGAACGGAGAUAAGGGGCUUGCUCCUUAUCUUAGUGGCGCACGGGUGAGUAACGCGUAGAUAAUCUGCCUGAUGAUCUGGGAUAACACUUCGAAAGGGGUGCUAAUACCGGAUAAGCCCACGACGGCCUUGGUCGUUGCGGGAAAAGGGGGGGACCGUUUGGCUUUCUGUCAUCAGAUGAGUCUGCGUACCAUUAGCUAGUUGGUAGGGUAAAAGCCUACCAAGGCGACGAUCUGUAGCUGGUCUGAGAGGACGACCAGCCACACUGGGACUGAGACACGGCCCAGACUCCUACGGGAGGCAGCAGUGGGGAAUUUUGGACAAUGGACGCAAGUCUGAUCCAGCCAUGCCGCGUGCAGGAAGAAGGCCUUCGGGUUGUAAAACCCUGUCGGGUGGAACGAAUCUCCUCCCCUCUAAUACAGGAGAGGAUUGACGGUACCACCGAAGGAAGCCCCGGCUAACUACGUGCCAGCAGCCGCAGUAACAC